UACGCAGGGUGCAAGCGUUGUCCGGAAUUAUUGGGCGUAAAGGGCUCGUAGGCGGUCUGUUGCGUCAGGAGUGAAAACUCGGGGCUUAACCCCGAGCCUGCUUCUGAUACGGGCAGACUAGAGGUAUGCAGGGGAGAACGGAAUUCCUGGUGUAGCGGUGAAAUGCGCAGAUAUCAGGAGGAACACCGAUGGCGAAGGCAGGUCUCUGGGCUGUAACUGACGCUGAGGAGCGAAAGCAUGGGGAGCGAACAGG
rnacentral:rRNA from 1 species